rnacentral:lncRNA from 1 species
GACUUAUUAAUUUGAUACCCCUAUAGUUGUUGCAGCACUGGAUGUCCCCUUUGUUCUUGUACAAGGGCACCACUGUACUCCACCUCCACUCAUUCGGCAUCCUUUUGGUCCUAAAGAUCGCAUUGAACAACCUAGAGAGCCACUCCCCUCCUGACAUACCCAUGCACUUCCAGAACUCUACCGGGAUCUCGUCAGGCCCGGUCGCUCGACCCCUACUC